CAUAUGGAAUUUCCCAUGCCAGGGACGAAUAUUAGCUGUAACUGUGACCUGCACCACAGCUGCAGCAACGCCAGAUCUUUAACCCACUGUACCACAAUGAGAACGCCCAAAAAACAGUUUCAUACACACACACAAGCACACAAAUAGAGAAGACAGCAUGCAUAAAAAUUAACACAGAUUACAGCAGAAAGACACACAAAGAUUUCAGCUACUGCAAUUAUUGGAAACAAAUGUAAUAAAAAUAGAGUUUUUUAAUUAGGGAAAUAAAAGAAAAAUUUGCAAAAAUUAACUAAAUGCAAUUUCUAUAUCUUUCAAUUAUAACUAGAUAUUUUAAUUGAUAGAUGAAAUAGUAGUUUAUAUAUAACUCAUGAAAGAGUAAGUGAACUGGAAAAAUGACCCAAAGAAAUUCUAUUUCUGCCUAUACAUGCCCACAUUACAUUGAAGAAAUAGUGAAAAGUCUUGACGUACAUCUAAUCAGAGUUCUGAAUGGCAAUAAGAAGGUGCUAUUGAAAGAGCUGAAUAUUUUCCAGAAAUUUUGAAAGAUAUUAAUCAUAUCUGGGAGUCAUCCAUUCCCAAUGAGAAUAAUUAAUGAGAAAUCCAUGUCCAGACAUACCACCAUAAAAUAGCAGAAAAGCAGAGGCAAAGAACAUUUAAAAAAGCCAAUAAGAUGGAAUAUAUUUUAGAAAAUGCAUAUAUGUAUGACUGAGUCACUCUGCUCUACAGCAGAAAAAGGCACAACAUUGUAAAUCAACUAUACUUUGAUAAUUUUUUAAAUAGCCAAUAAGAAAACAUAAAGCAGUUUCAAAGAGAAAGUAAUUAAACUGUCCAGUGAACUGUCAAUAGGAACAACAGAAGGUAUAAAAUAUUGAAGAAAUAUCCUUAAUGAGAGGAGAUAAAUAACUGCUAACCAAUAAUCUUUACUUAACGAAAUUAUCUGUGUGAAUGAUUUAAUUAUAAAGAUAUUUUCAGGAAAACUAGAGUUUCAUCACACAAAUAUACUCACUAAAGUAAUCUUUAGGAAGUAUUUUUUUGGACUUCCCCCUUGGCACAACAAGUUAAGAAUCCAACAUUGUGUUCUUGCAGCUGCAAACAGAAUUCUAUCCCUGGCCUGGGAACUUCCAUGUCGCAUAUCCCCUCAAAAAAAUUAUUUUUUAGGAAGAGAAAAAUUGGCCAUAAGUUAAGGUAUUAAAUGCAAGAAGAAAUCUUAAGGUAGACAGCAAAAUGUAUGUAAAUAAAUUAAACAAUAAUUUGUUUUAUGAAGUAAUACUCAUAUUUAGUUUGGAGGGGCAGGUUAGAUCUUAAAUCCUAGACAGCAAUAACAGACAGUGUAGAUGGGGCCAAGAUGAGGGUUAAAGGGCAAAGUUAAAUGUCUCUAAUACCCUUUUAUAAUUUGAGAUGAAGAAAAGAUCCCUUUGUGGCUCAGAAGUAAGGAGCUCAACUAGUAUCAAUGAGGAUGUGGGUUCCAUUCCUGGCCUUGCUCAGUGGGUUAAGGAUCCAGCGCUGCAGUGAGUUGCGGUGGAAGUCGCAGACGGGGCCUGGAUCCUCCGUUGCUGUGGCUGUGACAUAAGCCAGUAGCUGCAGCUCCAAUUCAACCCCUAGCCUGGGAACCUCCAUAUGCCACAGGUGUGGCCCUAGAAAGCCCAAAGAAAGAAAGAAGGGAGAGGUGGGAGGGAGAGAGAGGGAGAGAGAGAGAAAGAAGGGAGGAAGAAAGGAAGGAAGGGCAAGCAUAUCAUAUGAUUACAGAAAUAAAUUCAAAUGUAACACAAAUCACUAAAUGUAAGUGGACAAUUAUUCCAUGGGAAUGGUGAAAAAAAUGCUGUUUCAAGUUCAAGAAAAAAACUAGAAAGGAAAAAUUUUAACCCAAUUAAGGACUUUAAACAUAUACACAUACACGCAAAAAUACACAUGCACCAACUACCAAAAAUAUGUUGAAAUCAAAGUCUUCAUUCAUUCUGGUCAACACUUUUUGAACAUGACUUUGACAGUCAUAAGGAAUAUCUAUACAGAUUUAACGAUGUUCCAAUCACAUAAUUGUAAAGGCAAAAAAAAAAAAAAAAAGAAGAGGAAACAAGAUAAAAUUCUUAGAAGAUAGAAUAGAAUGGCUCUGCUCAAUAAGUAUUUGUGGUAAUGGAAAUAUUCUAAUUUACUUAACCUGUUAUGGUAACCCCUAACCACAGGCUACUAGGCACCUGAAAUGUGGCCAGUGCUACUGAGAUUGAUAUUUAUUUUACUUUAGUUUACUAAUUUUUUUGGGGGGGCACCCCCAUUGCCUAUGGAAUUUCCUUGGCCAGGAGAUGCAGUUGCAACCUACACUGCAGCUGUUGCAACACCAGAUCCUUAACCCACUAUGCAGGCCAGGGAGCAAACCUAUGUCCCAGAAUUCCACAGACUCCAACAAAAUGAAGAGACUACUGCAUUUGGUUUCACAAUUUUAAGCAAAACAGCAAUAUUUAAAGUAAAAUUUAAGUAUUAUUUGCUUAAGUUUAUUAGUUUUGUUUUCUUUUUGCAUUCCAGCCGUUAGAUCUAGAUACCUUUUUUCCACAUCCUUUUAGAAGUAAAAAUAGCUUUCUUCCUUGAAACCUAAAGAAUGAUGUACAUGGAAACAUGGAAUAAAAUCAAGAAAUGUGUCAGAAUUUUCUGCAUCCUUCUACAAAAAGCACUACUUUUUCCACCUUCAAACUUAUUUUAAGAGAAGUUAGUGUUAAUUUUGACUUAUUUUAAUUAAGACAAGUCAAAGUGUUUAUAACAUAGUAAAUUCAAAUUAGCCCUCUUUCAGCAUUGACUGUUUCAGGUAACAGGAACUGCUAUCCAUAGGUAAUGAUGAAAAUCAUCCUAACACAUUUUCCACCUUUACUCUCUAGUUCUAGUUAUCCCAGAGUCAUAAUAACCACCACUAUCCCAGAAAUCAUGGUCUUCUCUCCAUCUUGAAUAUCUAUCUCUAAGCAAAUUUAAACUUCCGUCAUUACAGGUCUGAAUUACUGCAGUAAUCUUAUAUAUAAUAGCAAACUCACAUACACUUUGAAUAUCUUCGAUUCUUUGUUUCAUUGUAAGAAAAAACUUUUAAAAACACAAAUAAAAAAACCCACAAAUAUAGUGGUUUCAUAAGCUUGUCUAUAAUCAUUCAGAACACAUUGCUUUAAGGGAAAAGUAAAGCUCUAUAUAGUAUGUGAACAGUUUCACAUAUCUGGUUCUUAACCUAUUUUGAGGAUUGCAUAUUAAACCAACCUCUUUAUUUAAAUCAGUAUGUAUGUCUUUUUCAAGUUUCUCAAAUAAACCACCCUCACUAUCUGAUAUGGGAUAUUCAAUGAUGCUUCAUUCCACACAGCAAUCUUUCACUCUAUCUUAACUCCUACUUAUCCAUCGGCUAUUAUCUAAAGUGUAUUUUCAACAGAAUUUCAAGAUGUUCCUGCAAUAGCAAAUACUAUCACUGUUCUCAUAGCACAAAGCUCUUUUCUUGUAAAGCUCUUAUAACAGAAGCAAUGCUAGAUUUGCUUUUGUUAACGGUUUGGAUUAGUGCCUGUCUAAUACUGGAGGUCCAAGUUCCAUGAAGUAAAAGAAGAGGGACUAUUUGUGUUCAUCAUUUUUCCCCAGAGUGUAAGACAGGUAUAUGUGAGAAACUCCACGCUGAAUAAACAUUGAAUGAAACCGUUCUUCUUUCUUUGUUUUAAUUCCUUCUAAACUCUACUGGGAAGCUUAAGGUCACUUUGCUACCAUAUUGGUUUAAUGAAUUCAGAAUUCUAAGACUGGCAGUAAUCAAGAAUUGGAUGCUUGGAGUUCCCGUUGUGGUGCAGCGGAAACAAAUCCGACCAGGAACCAUGAGGUUGAGGGUUCAGUCCCUGGACUCGCUUAGUGGGUUAAGAAUCUGGCGUUGCUGUGAGCUGUGGUGUAGGCCAGCAGCUGUAGCUGUGAUUCAACCCCUA
rnacentral:lncRNA from 1 species